rnacentral:rRNA from 1 species
AACGAACGCUGGCGGCAUGCCUAACACAUGCAAGUCGAACGAGACCUUCGUGUCUAGUGGCGCACGGGUGCGUAACGCGUGGGAACCUGCCCUUAGGUUCGGAAUAACUCCCCGAAAGGGGUGCUAAUACCGGAUAAUGUCUUCGGACCAAAGAUUUAUCGCCUUUGGAUGGGCCCGCGUUGGAUUAGCUGGUUGGUAGGGUAAAAGCCUACCAAGGCGACGAUCCACAGCUGGUCUGAGAGGAUGAUCAGCCACACUGGGACUGAGACACGGCCCAGACUCCUACGGGAGGCAGCAGUGGGGAAUAUUGGACAAUGGGCGAAAGCCUGAUACAGCAAUGCCGCGGGAGUGAUGAAGGCCUUAGGGUUGUAAAGCUCUUUUACCCGGGAUGAUAAUGACAGUACCGGGAGAAUAAGCUCCGGCUAACUCCGUG